rnacentral:rRNA from 1 species
AUUGAACGCUGGCGGCAUGCCUAACACAUGCAAGUCGAACGGCAGCACAGCAGUAGCAAUACUGUGGGUGGCGAGUGGCGGACGGGUGAGGAAUACGUCGGAAUCUGCCCAGUCGUGGGGGAUAACUAGCCGAAAGGUUAGCUAAUACCGCAUACGACCGAGAGGUGAAAGCGGGGGACCGCAAGGCCUCGCGCGAUUGGAUGAGCCGACGUCGGAUUAGCUAGUUGGCGGGGUAAAGGCCCACCAAGGCGACGAUCCGUAGCUGGUCUGAGAGGAUGAUCAGCCACACUGGAACUGAGACACGGUCCAGACUCCUACGGGAGGCAGCAGUGGGGAAUAUUGGACAAUGGGCGCAAGCCUGAUCCAGCAAUGCCGCGUGUGUGAAGAAGGCCUUCGGGUUGCAAAGCACUUUUAUCAGGAACGAAAAGCGUUGGAUUAAUACUCUGACGUGCUGACGGUACCUGAGGAAUAAGCACCGGCUAACUUCGUGCC